UGCCCAGCUAUUUCACAUGGACCGGCUCCAGCUGAUCAGCACAAUGUCACGGUGUUCCUAUGAAUGUGAUCAUAGGUGAUCGCCUGAACUCUGCAUAUAGACUCUGCAUCCGUGUUCACUCAUUCAGUUUACAUGAGCGAUGCUGCCUCAAAGCUCAAACAGAGUGAUGGAACCUGGUGUGGCAUCAGAAAAUAUCCCAGAAAGACCCAGAGCAAUCUGGUGCGUGAAUUACCGUCUCCUCUGAUCAUCACAGAUAUCGUUCUCUUGACAGUGCACUGAAGUAGCUAGGCAAUGCAAGUCUCUGUCGCCCUGUCCCUGAUUGUUCAGCACCUCGUUAUGGCAGUGCAUGAUCCUUGCCGGUUCAGAAUUCCAGCUGCUGGUCUCCUCAUUUGCCGAUCCAGUUACAGGAGAGUCUGUAACCUGAGCCGGCAUGAAAAAUUCCUCCGCCGCGAUCCAAUCCAGUUCCGCCAAUCGAAUCAAUACUGCAGUGACCAAUCAAUCAGAUUAUCAAAGUAAACUGUUUGGUGGAACUGACAAUCUUGAUUUGUUUCCAUCGUUUCACAUGCUUGUCAAAUGCAAAACGACUCACCUUUCUGAUGACUGUUGAAGCCCAGAAUAGCUUGUGGGCUGGAAACCUGUCUGAUGGAGACAGAUAGUUCAGAGAAGCACGGAUGACUGUAUGAACGAACGGUUUGGA
rnacentral:lncRNA from 1 species